UGACGGAGGCCGGCGGAUAAUUCCUUGGCCGGAAGGCCCCGGUAAAUCUUGGUUAAAUCCUCGUGCUGGGGAUAGACCAUUGCAAUUAUUGCUCUUCAACGAGGAAUCCCUAGUAAGCGCAAGUCAUCCGGCUUGCGUUGAUUACGUCCCUGCCCUUUGUACACACCCGCCCGUCGCUACUACCGAUUGAAUGGCUCAGUGAGGCGUCCGGACUGGCCCAGGGAGGUGGGCAACUACCACCCAGGGCCGGAAAGCUCUCCAAACUCGGUCAUUUAGAGGAAGUAAAAGUCGUAACAAGGUCUCCGUUGGUGAACCAGCGGAGGGAUCAUUACCGAGUUAUCCAACUCCCAACCCCUGUGAAUUAUACCUUUAAUUGUUGCUUCGGCGGGACUUCGCGCCCGCCGGGGACCCAAACCUUCUGAAUUUUUUAAUAAGUAUCUUCUGAGUGGUUAAAAAAAUGAAUCAAAACUUUCAACAACGGAUCUCUUGGUUCUGGCAUCGAUGAAGAACGCAGCGAAAUGCGAUAAGUAAUGUGAAUUGCAGAAUUCAGUGAAUCAUCGAAUCUUUGAACGCACAUUGCGCCCGUCAGUAUUCUGGCGGGCAUGCCUGUUCGAGCGUCAUUACGCCCCUCAAGUCCCCUGUGGACUUGGUGUUGGGGAUCGGCGAGGCUGGUUUUCCAGCGCAGCCGUCCCUCAAAUCAAUUGGCGGUCUCGCCGUGGCCCUCCUCUGCGCAGUAGUAAAACACUCGCAACAGGAGCCCGGCGCGGUCCACUGCCGUAAAACCCCCCAACUUUUUAUAGUUGACCUCGAAUCAGGUAGGACUACCCGCUGAACUUAAGCAUAUCAAUAAGCGGAGGAAAAGAAACCAACAGGGAUUGCCCCAGUAACGGCGAGUGAAGCGGCAACAGCUCAAAUUUGAAAUCUGGUCCCCAGGGCCCGAGUUGUAUUUGCAGAGAUGCUUUUGGUGAGGUGCCUUCCGAGUUCCUGGAACGGGACGCCAUAAGGGUGAGAGCCCCGUCUGGUUGGAUACCGAGCCUCUGUAAAGCUCUUCGACAAUCCAGUAUUGGGAAUGUGCUCUAAUGGGAGUAUAUGUCUCUAAGCUAAUAUGGCCGAACCG
rnacentral:rRNA from 1 species